rnacentral:rRNA from 1 species
CAGCAGUAGCCGCGGGAAUACGAAGGGGGCUAGCGUUGCUCGGAAUGACUGGGCGUAAAGGGCGCGUAGGCGGAUUGUUUAGUUAGGCGUGAAAUUCCUGGGCUUAACCUGGGGACUGCGCUUAAUACAGGCAGUCUAGAGUGAGGAAGAGGGUUGUGGAAUUCCCAGUGUAGAGGUGAAAUUCGUAGAUAUUGGGAAGAACACCGGUGGCGAAGGCGGCGACCUGGUCCUUUACUGACGCUGAGGCGCGAAAGCGUGGGGAGCAAACAUGAUUAGAUACCCGUGUAGUCCCUGUCUCUUAUAC